GAUGAAGAACGUAGCGAAAUGCGAUAAGUAAUGUGAAUUGCAGAAUUCAGUGAAUCAUCGAAUCUUUGAACGCACAUUGCGCCCGCCAGUAUUCUGGCGGGCAUGCCUGUUCGAGCGUCAUUUCAACCCUCAAGCCCAGCUUGGUGUUGGGGAUCGGCACAGGCGCCCUCGGGCGCCCGCCGUCCCCUAAAUCUAGUGGCGGUCCCGCUGCAGCCUCCUCUGCGUAGUAGUUUUCUCCUCGCAAGGGCAGCUCGGUGGCGACCUCGCCGUAAAACCCCCAACUUCUGAAAGGUUGACCUCGAAUCAGGUAGGAAUACCCGAUGAACUUAAGCAUAUCAAUAAGCGGAGGA
rnacentral:misc_RNA from 1 species